rnacentral:lncRNA from 1 species
GCAGUGACAGAAAAAUGAAGAAAAUUGAUGCACUACCAGUUCUAAUGUGACAUUUGAAAAGCGCUGUUGUUUUUGAAGGUUAUAACAGCUUCUUGACCUACAUGUCCUCUGACAGA